rnacentral:rRNA from 1 species
CCUACGGGAGGCAGCAGUGAGGAAUAUUGGUCAAUGGGCUUACGCCUGAACCAGCCAAGUAGCGUGAAGGAAGACGGUUUUCGGAUUGUAAACUUCUGUUCUUAGUGAAGAAUAAUGACGGUAGCUAAGGAGCAAGCCAGGGCUAACUACGUGCCAGCAGCCGCGGUAAUACGUAGGUGGCAAGCGUUGUCCGGAAUUACUGGGUGUAAAGGGAGCGCAGGCGGGAAGCCAAGUCAGCUGUGAAAACUACGGGCCUAACUUGUGGACUGCAGUUGAAACUGGUUUUCUGGAGUGAAGUAGAGGUUGGCGGAAUUCCGAGUGUAGCGGUGAAAUGCGUAGAUAUUCGGAGGAACACCGGUGGCGAAGGCGGCCAACUGGGCUUUAACUGACGCUGAGGCUCGAAAGUGUGGGGAGCAAACAGGAUUAGAUACCCUAGUAGUC